AGAUUUGAAGGCAAGGUAACAGCAACAUCUAUCACCCCACUAAUCACCAGAUUUUGAGUCAGCUGAUCAGGCUGCUGAGGCAAGUGUUCCUUUCCCUUUUGAGUUCCCUGUGUGUCAUGACAAGGAGCUUCCUGUCUAGUUUGAGGGGACAACUUCAAAUAGAAAGGAGUAUUCUUUGACCAAGGAAAUAGGCAUAACUCCAUGCCCCAGUAUAGCUGCUGAACAAGCUCUCAGACAAUCUGACUUCUAUCUCCUCUUUGAAGUGACUGUCAGAUGAAGGUAUUUAGCCACUUCCUGGGAGACAUCACAUAUGUAUGAGUGUGUACAUGUGUGUCUGU
rnacentral:snRNA from 1 species